rnacentral:misc_RNA from 1 species
GGGGCCGUAGCUCAGCUGGGAGAGCACCUGCUUUGCAAGCAGGGGGUCGUCGGUUCGAUCCCGUCCGGCUCCACCAUUUAGAUCAUCAUCAUGUUGUAAGAACACGGUUUAGUAAAAGGUUUUUUUUACCCUUUUGCUUGUUCUAUUGAAAUUGUGAAGAGAAGAUAUAUUCA